rnacentral:rRNA from 1 species
GUAGGAUAGGCGAAGCGUGCGAUUGGAUUGCACGUCUAAGCAGUAAGGCUGAGUAUUAGGCAAAUCCGGUACUCGUUAAGGCUGAGCUGUGAUGGGGAGAAGACAUUGUGUCUUCGAGUCGUUGAUUUCACACUGCCGAGAAAAGCCUCUAGAUAGAAAAUAGGUGCCCGUACCGCAAACCGACACAGGUAGUCAAGAUGAGAAUUCUAAGGUGAGCGAGCGAACUCUCGUUAAGGAACUCGGCAAAAUGACCCCGUAACUUCGGGAGAAGGGGUGCUCUUUAGGGUUAACGCCCAGAAGAGCCGCAGUGAAUAGGCCCAAGCGACUGUUUAUCAAAAACACAGGUCUCUGCUAAACCGUAAGGUGAUGUAUAGGGGCUGACGCCUGCCCGGUGCUGGAAGGUUAAGAGGAGUGGUUAGCUUCUGCGAAGCUACGAAUCGAAGCCCCAGUAAACGGCGGCCGUAACUAUAACGGUCCUAAGGUAGCGAAAUUCCUUGUCGGGUAAGUUCCGACCCGCACGAAAGGCGUAACGAUUUGGGCACUGUCUCAACGAGAGACUCGGUGAAAUCAUAGUACCUGUGAAGAUGCAGGUUACCCGCGACAGGACGGAAAGACCCCGUGGAGCUUUACUGUAGCCUGAUAUUGAAAUUCGGCACAGCUUGUACAGGAUAGGUAGGAGCCUUUGAAACGUGAGCGCUAGCUUACGUGGAGGCGCUGGUGGGAUACUACCCUAGCUG